CUUCUCGAGACGGCGGUGNGCUUAUACGCGUGGGAAUAUGCCCUUUUCUGCGGAAUAGCCUCUGGAAACGGAGAGUAAUACCGCAUACGCCCUUCGGGGGAAAGAUUUAUCGGAGAAGGAUUAGCCCGCGUUAGAUUAGGUAGUUGGUGGGGUAAUGGCCUACCAAGCCUACGAUCUAUAGCUGGUUUUAGAGGAUGAUCAGCAACACUGGGACUGAGACACGGCCCAGACUCCUACGGGAGGCAGCAGUGGGGAAUCUUGGACAAUGGGGGCAACCCUGAUCCAGCCAUGCCGCGUGAGUGAUGAAGGCCUUAGGGUCGUAAAGCUCUUUCGCCUGUGAAGAUAAUGACGGUAGCAGGUAAAGAAACCCCGGCUAACUCCGUGCCAGCAGCCGCGGUAAUACGGAGGGGGUUAGCGUUGUUCGGAAUUACUGGGCGUAAAGCGCACGUAGGCGGAUCGGAUAGUUGGGGGUGAAAUCCCGGGGCUCAACCCCGGAACUGCCUCCAAAACUAUCGGUCUAGAGUUCGAGAGAGGUGAGUGGAAUUCCGAGUGUAGAGGUGAAAUUCGU
rnacentral:rRNA from 1 species